rnacentral:rRNA from 1 species
UUGCAAUUGGAUUGAGAACAACGUACAAACCUUAUCGAUAAACAAUUGGAGGGCAAGUCUGGUGCCAGCAGCCGCGGUAAUUCCAGCUCCAAUAGCGUAUAUUAACGUUGUUGCAGUUAAAAAGCUCGUAGUUGAAAUGAAGGGUAGUUGUGUAAUGAAUACAUUCGUGUAUUUUGUUAUUCUACUACCCUCCUUCUAAAUUCGAUAUAUGAGUAUUAAUUUACUUGUAUAUGGUUUUAGACCUUUACUGUGAGAAAAUUAGAGUGUUCAAAGCAGGCAUUUGCUUGAAUAUAUUAGCAUGGAAUAAUCAUGUAUGAUUUUCAUGAUGUAUUUGAUUGGUUUGGUUCAUGAGAAUAAGAUUAAAAGGGACAGUUGGGGGUAUUCAUAUUCAAUAGUCAGAGGUGAAAUUCUCGGAUUUAUGGAAGAUGAACAAGUGCGAAAGCAUUUACCAAGGAUGUUUUCAUUAAUCAAGAACGAAAGUUAGGGGAUCGAAGAGGAUUAGAUACCCUCGU